AAUAUUGUGAAACAGCCAAGUGUCACGAAAAUCCUCGCGGACUUCUGUGUGGUCCUCCUGUGGUAGCUCCUCUGUGAACUCUUGUAUGUCAGGGUCGCCUGACCUAAU
rnacentral:lncRNA from 1 species